rnacentral:misc_RNA from 1 species
AACGCACCUUGCGCUCCUUGGUAUUCCGAGGAGCAUGCCUGUUUGAGUGUCAUUAAAUUCUCAACCUUAUCAGCUUUUGUUGGUAAUGGCUUGGAUGUGGGGGUCUUUUGCUGGCUUCGUCAAGAGGUCUGCUCCCCUUAAAUGUAUUAGCCGGUGCCCCGCGUGGACCUGUCUAUUGGUGUGAUAAUUAUCUACGCCGUGGAUGUCUACUUUAAAUGGGAUGCAUUGCUUCCAACCGUCUAUUCAGUUGGACAAUCAAUGACAAUUUGACCUCAAAUCAGGUAGGACUACCCGCUGAACUUAA